AAAUUGAAGAGUUUGAUCCUGGCUCAGAUUGAACGCUGGCGGCAUGGCUAAAACAUGCAAGUCGAACGCGAACGUGACUUCGGUCACAAGUAGAGUGGCGAAAGGGCGAGUAAUGCGUUUCUAACGUGCCUCGAAGUGAGGGAUAGCUCAGAGAAAUCUGGGGUAAUACCUCAUGACCUCCUUAAGUCGUAUGGCUUUUGGAGCAAAGGUUUACUGCUUCGAGAUCGGGAAACGUGCUAUCAGGUAGUUGGUGAGGUAAAGGCUCACCAAGCCAGAGACGGCUAGCGGGUGUGAGAGCACGACCCGCCGCAUCGGGACUGAGACACUGCCCGGACUCCUACGGGAGGCUGCAGUAACGAAUAUUCCGCAAUGCACGAAAGUGUGACGGAGCAAUGCCGCGUGUAGGAUGAAUCCCUUCGGGGUGUAAACUACUGUCAGGGUUUAGGAAUUUUGACCAGACCCAAAGGAAGGGCCGGCUAACUUCGUGCCAGCAGCCGCGGUAAUACGAAGGGCCCGAGCGUUAAUCGGAAUCACUGGGCUUAAAGGGUGUGCAGGCGGAUCAGCAAGUAUCUUGUGAAAUCCCACAGCUCAACUGUGGAAUUGCUCGGUAGACUGCUGAUCUUGAGUCAUAGAGAGGCAAUCGGAACGAUAGGUGGAGCGGUGAAAUGCGUAGAUAUCUAUCGGAACGCCAAAGGAGAAGUCAGAUUGCUGGCUAUGUACUGACGCUCAUACACGAAAGCGUGGGUAGCGAACGGGAUUAGAUACCCCGGUAGUCCACGCCCUAAACGAUGUGCACUAGAUCGAGGAGAUUUUGACAUCAUCUCGAUUGUAGUUAAAACAUUAAGUGCACCGCCUGGGGAGUACGGUCGCAAGACUAAAACUCAAAGGAAUUGACGGGGGCUCACACAAGCGGUGGAGCAUGUGGCUUAAUUCGAAGCAACGCGAAGAACCUUACCAGGGUUUGACAUGGUCGGAUUAGUGAAUCGAAAGAUGAUCGACACCUUCGGGUGGAACGACCACAGGUGCUGCAUGGCUGUCGUCAGCUCGUGCUGUGAAGUGUCGGGUUAAGUCCCUUAACGAGCGAAACCCCUGCCGUUAGUUGCUAACAGAUAAUGCUGAGGACUCUAGCGGGACUGCCGGUGUCAAACCGGAGGAAGGUGGGGACGACGUCAAGUCAUCAUGGCCCUUAUGCCCUGGGUUGCACACGUGCUACAAUGGUAUGGACAGAGCGAAGCGAUGUCGCAAGGCGGAGCAAAUCGCAAAAACCAUGCCCCAGUUCGGAUUGCAGGCUGCAACUCGCCUGCAUGAAGUCGGAAUCGCUAGUAAUCGCGUAUCAGCUACGACGCGGUGAAUACGUUCCUGAGCCUUGUACACACCGCCCGUCACGUCAUGGGAGCUGGGAGCACCCGAAGCCGCCUCGAUUCAGAGGUGUCUACGGUGAACUCGGUGACUGGGACGAAGUCGUAACAAGGUAGCCGUAGGGGAACCUGCGGCUGGAUCACCUCCUUU
rnacentral:rRNA from 1 species